rnacentral:lncRNA from 1 species
UUUUAUUAGCUUGGGUUUUGAAUAUAUCACACAUGUGCCUUUUUCAUGUCUCAAAUUUAAGAUUGAGGUGUAUGCUAAUUCUUUUAAAUCAUAAUGUUAGCUUGAACAUGAGAAUAUGACUGUAGUAGUAUACUAUGUCUACAAUUUCAACCUUUGAUUAUUGGUGGACAUGAGGAUAUAUGCAAAGCUCACGUGAACUCUUCAUUUUAUAAAACUAAUCCCC